UCAACGUGCUGUAGUCUAACAGGCCGGCCUGCAGUGAACAGAUCGAUCUUAAUAAUGUGAGGACGUUAUCUUGGCUGCUCUUGAUCAGGUUUAAAAGCCUCACUGAGCCAGCAGGCACCAAAUACAACUUUGCAUCCUUUUAAUAAUGGACUCAACCGCAUUGCCUCAACACUUUGGCUAUCGCAGCUAGAUGACACCCAAAAUCACGGGCUCUUCUCUGAGCUCUUGUCUGCCCUCACAUGACUCAACGUGACAGACAAUUGUCUGCCUUCACAUAAUACAAGCUGAGAUCAUCGUAAGGGAGCACAGGAUUUCCCCCCCGAGGCAGCCAGAAGAAGAGAGGAGGAUGUGAUCAAAUGGCAUGAGUAAAGAUGUAGAGUGGCACGAUGAAAUCUGCUGCUGCAGCUGCUGGUGGAUGGUGGUCUGUGGCCCGCUUCUGGCCUCGGGGAGCAGCGUUCGUGAUGCUGAGCUUGAAUUUAAUCCAUGAAAUGUUAAUGUUCUGUGAAAUAAAUGGAGUUUGUUUGUCUAAUGUUUUGCCAAAUUCAAAUUUUGCUCCACAUCUACACCCCAGAAGGUGCCAAUGACAAUGGGAGAGAUGUAUCUGCCAAAGAAAGACAUUUUUCACA